AGCUCCUCCUCUUUUAUGGAACCAGCUCCACCUUCAGGUAUCAAGCUCCUCCUCUUUUAUGGAACCAGCUCCACCUUCAGGGCUCCAUCAGGUUCCCCUGGCCCCUGCUCCAUGUCCCUCCUCUUCCUCUUUGAUUGAAUUGUGGAAAUCUGGAUCGUAGUCCAUGCCGACUGUUGGAGAUAUUUAUUUUGACAUUUGUAUGUAGUUUUAUUGUAAAGUAUAAUAUUGAUUAUUCGUUGCUUAUUUUGGUUAUAUUUUGAUAUGUUAGUUUUUUCUUAUUAUAGUUGUAGUUUAGUUUAAAACAUGAUUGUUGUUUAAAUAUAUUUAGUUGUAGGUUCACUGAUUGCAUAACACUGGGCACCUGUGGUUCUAUGUAGGUGUGCGUAGCUUCAGGACCAGCAUGCACUGGGGUGGCCGAUGGUUCUUUACCUGCAGAGAGGCAGCGUCAACAUUGUGUUUCUUUUUUUUGUUUAUGAAAUAAAAGAUCAGAAUGACAUACGGAAAUGGUGGACAUUACUUUCUUUUUGGCUGCGUCAACUCCAAACCCCCCGCGGUGCGUCAAGGCCAUUAGAUUUAUAGUUUUAUUUGAUUUGUAAAGACAGAUGGCCACUGCACCUACUACUAAUUGUUCAUAAUGUCAUAUUCAUUGAAUGUUUCUGUAACUCUGUCCAUCUGGUCACAUGACAUCUAUUGAUCUCUCCAACCUGGAGAGGGGUCCUCCUCCUGCUCUCCUUUCCCCCCAAGUGAACGUUUUUUUUCUUCCUGUUUUUUGGGAGUUGAUGCUGAUCCGAUGUGAGGUCAAAGGUCAGGGAUGUCGUACGGAGCGUGUCCAACGAGCUCUUUCCUUUACGCUCAAAGAGAAUCGAGACGCGUUCACACGACACAGGAAAGUCUUUUUAAUCGAGCUGUGGACAGACUUGCACUUUGUUUACAUAUUUACAGGAGCUGAAACACACCAAGUCCGAUCCGCCUCGAUACUGCCGACGCACACGGAGACUCACACACGAACACACGAGGACUCACAAUGCACACGCAACGACGCACAAAUAUAUUACAUCUACAAAACAGACAAAUCCACGUAGAAAUGCUUAAAUAUAUUUGUGAUUUUACAUUUAUAUUAAUCAUAAUUUAUAUUUGUGUGUGCAUUUUAUAUAUUUGUGAAUUGUUCCGAGCGCAGUGUGUAUCUCCGUGUGUGCGUUGUGUGAGUCUGUGUGCGGUUGCAGUGGUUGAGGCCGAGCCGACUCCAUAGAAAUUAGUUCAGUACGCUUUUUUUUUUUAGCCACGCAAUGUCAUCA